rnacentral:rRNA from 1 species
CUACGGGCCGCACCAGUAGGGAAUAUUGGACAAUGGGCGAAAGCCUGAUCCAGCAACACCGCGUGCACGAUGACGGCCUUCGGGUUGUAAAGUGCUUUUAGAGGAGAUGAGAAAGGACAGUAUCCUCUGAAUAAGCCUCGGCGAACUACGUGCCAGCAGCCGCGGUAAAACGUAGGAGGCAAGCGUUAUCCGGAUUUAUUGGGCGUAAAGCGCGUGCAGGCGGUCUAGCAAGUUGGAUGUGAAAGCUCCCGGCUCAUCUGGGAGAGGUCGUUCAAUACUGUUAGACUAGAGAAUAGGAGAGGGAGGUGGAAUUCCGGGUGUAGUGGUGAAAUGCGUAGAUAUCCGGAGGAACACCAGUGGCGAAAGCGGCCUCCUGGACUAUUUCUGACGCUAAGACGCGAAAGCUAGGGUAGCAAACGGGAUUAGAUACCCCAGUAGUC